GACGAACCGUGCGAACGUUGUUCGGAUUCACUGGGCUUAAAGGGCGCGUAGGCGGAUUGGCAAGUCCGGGGUGAAAUCUUUCAGCUUAACUGGAAAAGUGCCUUGGAUACUGCCGGUCUAGAGGGAGGUAGGGGUCUGCGGAACUUCUGGUGGAGCGGUGAAAUGCGUAGAUAUCAGAAGGAACGCCGGUGGCGAAAGCGGCGGACUGGACCUCUUCUGACGCUGAGGCGCGAAAGCUAGGGGAG
rnacentral:rRNA from 1 species